UUAUAGAGUUUUCUAAACUCCCAACCCAUGUGAACUUACCUUUUGUUGCCUCGGCAGAAGUUAUAGGUCUUCUUAUAGCUGCUGCCGGUGGACCAUUAAACUCUUGUUAUUUUAUGUAAUCUGAGCGUCUUAUUUUAAUAAGUCAAAACUUUCAACAACGGAUCUCUUGGUUCUGGCAUCGAUGAAGAACGCAGCGAAAUGCGAUAAGUAAUGUGAAUUGCAGAAUUCAGUGAAUCAUCGAAUCUUUGAACGCACAUUGCGCCCAUUAGUAUUCUAGUGGGCAUGCCUGUUCGAGCGUCAUUUCAACCCUUAAGCCUAGCUUAGUGUUGGGAAUCUACUUCUUUAUAGUUGUAGUUCCUGAAAUACAACGGCGGAUUUGUAGUAUCCUCUGAGCGUAGUAAUUUUUUUCUCGCUUUUGUUAGGUGCUAUAACUCCCAGCCGCUAAACCCCCAAUUUUUUGUGGUUGACCUCGGAUCAGGUAGGAAUACCCGCUGAACUUAAGCAUAUCAAUAAGCGGAGGAAAAGAAACCAACAGGGAUUGCCUUAGUAACGGCGAGUGAAGCGGCAACAGCUCAAAUUUGAAAUCUGGCCCUUGGGUCCGAAUUGUAAUUUGUAGAGGAUGAUUUUGGUGCGGUAUCUUCCGAGUUCCUUGGAACAGGACGCCUUAGAGGGUGAGAGCCCCGUACGGUUGAAUGCCUAGCCUCUGUAAAUCUCCUUCGACGAGUCGAGUAGUUUGGGAAUGCUGCUCUAAAUGGGAGGUAAAUUUCUUCUAAAGCUAAAUAUUGGCCAGAGACCGAUAGCGCACAAGUAGAGUGAUCGAAAGAUGAAAAGCACUUUGAAAAGAGGGUUAAAUAGCACGUGAAAUUGUUGAAAGGGAAGGAUUUGUGACCAGACUUUUUCUGGGCGGAUCAUCCGGGGUUCUCUCCGGUGCACUUCGCCCAGUAAAGGCCAGCAUCGGUUUUCGGCGUGGGAUAAAAGCAGUAGGAAUGUGGCUCUCUACGGGGAGUGUUAUAGCCUAUUGUAUAAUACCGCGCUG
rnacentral:rRNA from 1 species